rnacentral:rRNA from 1 species
GACGAACCGUGCAAACGUUGUUCGGAAUCACUGGGCUUAAAGGGUGCGUAGGCGGGUUGGUAAGUCCGUGGUGAAAUCUCCGAGCUUAACUCGGAAACUGCCGUGGAUACUAUCAAUCUUGAAUAUCGUGGAGGUAAGCGGAAUAUGUCAUGUAGCGGUGAAAUGCUUAGAGAUGACAUAGAACACCAAUUGCGUAGGCAGCUUACUACACGAUCAUUGACGCUGAGGCACGAAAGCGUGGGGAGCAAACAGG